UACAGAGGGCGCGAGCGUUUGUUCGGAAUCGCUGGGCGUAAAGGGCGCGUAGGCGGCCGAUCAAGUCGGGGGUGAAAGCCUGUGGCUCAACCACAGAAUUGCCUUCGAUACUGUUUGGCUUGAGACCGGAAGAGGUUAGUGGAACUGCGAGUGUAGAGGUGAAAUUCGUAGAUAUUCGCAAGAACACCAGUGGCGAAGGCGGCUGACUGGUCCGGUUCUGACGCUGAGGCGCGAAAAGCGUGGGGAGCAAACAGG
rnacentral:rRNA from 1 species